UACGUAGGUGGCGAGCGUUGUCCGGAAUCAUUGGGCGUAAAGAGCGCGUAGGUGGCUUGUUAGGUCUGAUGUGAAAACUUGGGGCUCAACCCCAAGCCUGCAUUGGAAACCGGCUUGCUAGAGUCUGGGAGAGGAGAGUGGAAUUCCUGGUGUAGCGGUGAAAUGCGUAGAUAUCAGGAGGAACACCAGUAGCGAAGGCGGCUCUCUGGAACAGUACUGACGCUGAGGCGCGAAAGCUAGGGGAGCGAACAGG
rnacentral:rRNA from 1 species